rnacentral:rRNA from 1 species
AGAUUAAGUUAUUAAGGGCGCACGGUGGAUGCCUUGGCACUAGAAGCCGAUGAAGGACGUUACUAACAACGAUAUGCUUUGGGGAGCUGUAAGUAAGCUUUGAUCCAGAGAUUUCCGAAUGGGGAAACCCAGCAUGAGUUAUGUCAUGUUAUCGAUAUGUGAAUACAUAGCAUAUCAGAAGGCACACCCGGAGAACUGAAACAUCUU